AUUGAACGCUGGCGGCAGGCUUAACACAUGCAAGUCGAGCGGGGUGAUGGUGCUUGCACUAUCACUUAGCGGCGGACGGGUGAGUAAUGCUUAGGAAUCUGCCUAUUAGUGGGGGACAACAUCUCGAAAGGGAUGCUAAUACCGCAUACGUCCUACGGGAGAAAGCAGGGGAUCACUUGUGACCUUGCGCUAAUAGAUGAGCCUAAGUCGGAUGAGCUAGUUGGUGGGGUAAAGGCCUACCAAGGCGACGAUCUGUAGCGGGUCGGAGAGGAUGAUCCGCCACACUGGGACUGAGACACGGCCCAGACUCCUACGGGAGGCAGCAGUGGGGAAUAUUGGACAAUGGGGGGAAACCUGAUCCAGCCAUGCCGCGUGUGUGAAGAAGGCCUUAUGGUUGUAAAGCACUUUAAGCGAGGAGGAGGCUCUUUUGGUUAAUACCCAAGAUGAGUGGACGUUACUCGCAGAAUAAGCACCGGCUAACUCUGUGCCAGCAGCCGCCGUAA
rnacentral:rRNA from 1 species